CCCAGACGCUGGUGGGUGGUGGAAUACCAAGGGCUGUGAAAUAGUGUCCAAGCAGUAUGGAUAUACUGUGUGCUACUGCAACCACACCACCAACUUUGCAUUACUGCUGCAGGUGUAUGAAGCCCAGAGGAGCCCAGAGAAUGAAAAAGCUCUGCAGGUGCUGACGUUCAUUGGCUGUGGAGUGUCUCUGUGUGGCCUCCUCUUCACCUUCAUCCUCUUCAUCUCCGUGGGUGUCCCUAAAUCAGACCGCACAACUGUCCAUAAGAACCUUAUAGUUGCUCUGGGAGUGGCUGAGCUGCUGUUGAUGUGCAGCAGUUGGGCUUCUGAAAACGAG